UAUAUAGCUCAGCAGGUAGAGCAUCGGACUUUUAAUCCGCAGGUCUUGGGUUCAAACCCCAAUAU
rnacentral:tRNA from 1 species